rnacentral:sRNA from 1 species
AUGUUGUGCUUGUUGCGGACAAAUAAAGUGAAUGUGGGUAUCAAUACCACCAGCGGUCGCAAUUAAAUGUGCGCCAUUAUGUACUUCCGUGCUUGCACCGAUAAUCAUGUUUGGCGUGACAUUAUCCAUGGUGUCAGGGUUACCUGCUUGUCCAAUACCGACAAUACGCCCAUCGCGAAUACCAAUAUCGGCUUUGAUAAUGCCUAAUUUAGCAUCAAUGAUCAUCACAUUGGUAAUCACAAAAUCUAAUACAUUCGGAUUGUCGCGAGUUGCCGUACCACUUUGCGCCAUGCCAUCACGCAC